rnacentral:rRNA from 1 species
UACAGAGGGGGCAAGCGUUGUUCGGAAUUACUGGGCGUAAAGGGCGCGUAGGCGGCCUUCUAAGUCGAACGUGAAAUCCCUGGGCUCAACCUGGAGACGCCACCUGAUACUGCUGUGGCUAGAGUCCGGUAGGGGAGCGUUGAAUUCCUGGUGUAGCGGUGAAAUGCGCAGAUAUCAGGAGGAACACCGGUGGCGAAGGCGGGUCUCUGGGCCGAUACUGACGCUGAGGAGCGAAAGCGUGGGGAGCAAACAGG